UACGGAGGGUGCAAGCGUUGCUCGGAAUUAUUGGGCGUAAAGGGUAGGUAGGUGGUCUCAUUUGUCUAGGGUGAAAGCCUUGAGCUUAACUCAAGAAGUGCCCUGGAAACGGUGAGACUGGAGUCCUGGAGAGGGUCGUGGAAUUCCCGGUGUAGCGGUGAAAUGCGUAGAGAUCGGGAGGAACACCAGAGGCGAAAGCGGCGACCUGGACAGGUACUGACACUCAACUACGAAAGCGUGGGGAGCAAACAGG
rnacentral:rRNA from 1 species